rnacentral:rRNA from 1 species
GACGAACGCUGGCGGCGUGCUUAACACAUGCAAGUCGAACGGAAAGGCCUCUUUCGGGGGGUACUCGAGUGGCGAACGGGUGAGUAACACGUGAGUAACCUGCCCUUGACUUUGGGAUAACUUCAGGAAACUGGGGCUAAUACCGGAUAGGAGCUCCUGCUGCAUGGUGGGGGUUGGAAAGUUUCGGCGGUUGGGGAUGGACUCGCGGCUUAUCAGCUUGUUGGUGGGGUAGUGGCUUACCAAGGCUUUGACGGGUAGCCGGCCUGAGAGGGUCACCGGCCACAUUGGGACUGAGAUACGGCCCAGACUCCUACGGGAGGCAGCAGUGGGGAAUAUUGCACAAUGGGUGGAAGCCUGAUGCAGCAACGCCGUGUGCGGGAUGACGGCCUUCGGGUUGUAAACCGCUUUCGCUCAUGACGAAGCUUUGUGUGACGGUAGUGGGUAAAGAAGCACCGGCUAACUACGUG